UGAGGAAUAUUGCGCAAUGGGGGAAACCCUGACGCAGCGACGCCGCGUGAGUGAUGAAGGCCUUCGGGUUGUAAAGCUCUGUCAGAGGGAAAGAAAGGGGAUGCGGAAUAAUACCCGCAGCCAUUGACGGUACCCUCGGAGGAAGCACCGGCUAACUCCGUGCCAGCAGCCGCGGUAAUACGGAGGGUGCAAGUGUUAUUCGGAAUCACUGGGCGUAAAGAGCACGUAGGCGGAUGGGUAAGUCAGAUGUGAAAUCCCGGGGCUCAACUUCGGAGCUGCAUUUGAUAGUGCCCGUCUUGAGUGUGGUAGAGGGGGGUGGGAUUCCCGGUGUAGAGGUGGAAUUCGUGGAUAUCGGGAGGGACACCAGAGGCGAAGGCGAGCCCCUGGGCCAUUACUGACGCUGAGGUGCGAAAGCGUGGGG
rnacentral:rRNA from 1 species